GACGAACGCUGGCGGCGUGCUUAACACAUGCAAGUCGAACGGAAAGGCCUGCAGCUUGCUGCGGGUACUCGAGUGGCGAACGGGUGAGUAACACGUGGGUGAUCUGCCUUGCACUUCGGGAUAAGCUUGGGAAACUGGGUCUAAUACCGGAUAGGACAGCUGUUUAGUGUCAGUUGUGGAAAGUUUUUUCGGUGCAAGAUGAGCUCGCGGCCUAUCAGCUUGUUGGUGGGGUAAUGGCCUACCAAGGCGUCGACGGGUAGCCGGCCUGAGAGGGUGUACGGCCACAUUGGGACUGAGAUACGGCCCAGACUCCUACGGGAGGCAGCAGUGGGGAAUAUUGCACAAUGGGCGGAAGCCUGAUGCAGCGACGCCGCGUGGGGGAUGAAGGCCUUCGGGUUGUAAACUCCUUUCGACAGGGACGAAGCGUAAGUGACGGUACCUGUAUAAGAAGCACCGGCUAACUACGUGCCAGCAGCCGCGGUAAUACGUAGGGUGCGAGCGUUGUCCGGAAUUACUGGGCGUAAAGAGCUCGUAGGUGGUUUGUCGCGUCGUCUGUGAAAUUCCGGGGCUUAACUCCGGGCGUGCAGGCGAUACGGGCUGACUUGAGUGCUGUAGGGGAGACUGGAAUUCCUGGUGUAGCGGUGAAAUGCGCAGAUAUCAGGAGGAACACCGAUGGCGAAGGCAGGUCUCUGGGCAGUAACUGACGCUGAGGAGCGAAAGCAUGGGUAGCGAACAGGAUUAGAUACCCUGGUAGUCCAUGCCGUAAACGGUGGGCGCUAGGUGUAGGGGGCUUCCACGUCUUCUGUGCCGUAGCUAACGCAUUAAGCGCCCCGCCUGGGGAGUACGGGCCGCAGGCUA
rnacentral:rRNA from 1 species